GAUGAACGCUGGCGGCGUGCUUAACACAUGCAAGUCGAACGAAGCACUUUAUUUGAUUUCUUCGGAAUGAAGAUUUUGUGACUGAGUGGCGGACGGGUGAGUAACGCGUGGGUAACCUGCCUCAUACAGGGGGAUAACAGUUGGAAACGACUGCUAAUACCGCAUAAGCGCACAGGGUCGCAUGACCUGGUGCGAAAAACUCCGGUGGUAUGAGGUGGACCCGCGUCUGAUUAGCCAGUUGGUGGGGUAACGGCCUACCAAAGCGACGAUCAGUAGCCGACCUGAGAGGGUGACCGGCCACAUUGGGACUGAGACACGGCCCAAACUCCUACGGGAGGCAGCAGUGGGGAAUAUUGCACAAUGGGGGAAACCCUGAUGCAGCGACGCCGCGUGAGCGAAGAAGUAUUUCGGUAUGUAAAGCUCUAUCAGCAGGGAAGAAGAAAUGACGGUAC
rnacentral:rRNA from 1 species